rnacentral:lncRNA from 1 species
UGUCUCUGUAUUUAUAAGGCAUAUUGGUCUUCAUUUUCCUUAUUUGAAAUGUCUUUGUGUAGUUGUUCAAUCAGGGUAAACUAAUUCAUAGUAUACAAUGGGAAGUGAUCUAUUUUCUACUUCUUUAUUAUUAUUGUAUUGUUUUGAAAUAUUUUUGAUAAAUUAGUAUUAAUUUUAUGUGAUUUUAAUAACACAUCAAUGAGUUCCUGAUGAGGGCAGGGAGGUGAAUCCUAAGAACAAUCAUGUGAGUUUGGAAGGAGACCCUUCCCCAGCUGAGCCUCAGCCUGAGCCAUCACCUACAUCUAGACCGAAGACCCAGAGAAACUGUGAGUAGUAUGUGUGUGGUUUUGAGCCACUAAGGUAUGUGGUAAUUUGUUAUGCACCAAGUAGUAAGUAAUAUACCUGACAGUAAUUGUAAGGUGGUAUUCUGGAUUAGGUCCUGGAAUAGAUAAGUAUAUCAUUAUUAGAAAACCUGGUAAAAUAUGAAGGAAGUUUGUAGAUCAGUUAAUAGUCUUGAAAAACAGUUAAAUUCUUAGUUUUCAUGAAUAUGCUAUGGUUAUAAUAGAUACUAACAUUCUAGUUAUCUGAAUGGUAUAUGAAACUGUCUGUACUUACCUAUGUGCAUUUAUGUAAAUCUGCAGUUAUUUCAAAAUAAAUAUUUUUUUAAUAUUAUUAUUUUGUUUUUUUUUAAAAAGUAAGCAAGUAAAGACAUCAGCAAAAAACUUUUGCCUCCAAAUACAAGUGGGCAUGUAGGGAGAGAACAGUAAACUAGCUUUUCUUUUCUAGGCAACAUUUGAAACCCAGGAGCCACUGCUUCAGGAAGGCUCCAUCAGGAACUGUUCAGGACCAUGCACUCUGUUGAUACUCACAUGGUGGAAUUAUAUUGCCCUUGGCCAACCCUAAAGCCAUCAAGA